GCCAGUGGCGCGAAGCUACCG
rnacentral:snRNA from 1 species